AGCAGCCGCGGUAAUUCCAGCUCCAAUAGCGUAUAUUAAAGUUGUUGCAGUUAAAAAGCUCGUAGUUGAAUUUCGGGGUUAGCAGGUCGGUCGUGCCAUCGGUAUGAACUGGUCUCGCUGAUCCCUCCCUCUUGACGAACUGUGAUGCCAUUAAUUUGGUGUCGCAGGGAAUCAGGACUGUUACUUUGAAAAAAUUAGAGUGUUUAAAGCAGGCUCACGCUUGAAUACAUUAGCAUGGAAUAAUGAAAUAGGACGUUUGAUCCUAUUUUGUUGGUUUCUAGGAUUGACGUAAUGAUUAAUAGGGAUAGUUGGGGGCAUUAGUAUUCAAUUGUCAGAGGUGAAAUUCUUGGAUUUAUUGAAGACUAACUACUGCGAAAGCAUUUGCCAAGGAUGUUUUCAUUAAUCAAGAACGAAAGUUAGGGGAUCGAAGACGAUCAGAUACCGUCGUAGUCUUAACCAUAAACUAUGCCGACUAGGGAUCGGAUGAUGUUAAUUUUUAAUGACUCAUUC
rnacentral:rRNA from 1 species